rnacentral:rRNA from 1 species
AACGAACGCUGGCGGCAUGCCUAACACAUGCAAGUCGAACGAGACCUUCGGGUCUAGUGGCGCACGGGUGCGUAACGCGUGGGAACCUGCCCUUAGGUUCGGAAUAACUCCCCGAAAGGGGUGCUAAUACCGGAUAAUGUCUUCGGACCAAAGAUUUAUCGCCUUUGGAUGGGCCCGCGUUGGAUUAGCUAGUUGGUAGGGUAAAAGCCUACCAAGGCGACGAUCCAUAGCUGGUCUGAGAGGAUGAUCAGCCACACUGGGACUGAGACACGGCCCAGACUCCUACGGGAGGCAGCAGUGGGGAAUAUUGGCAAAUGGGCGAAAGCCUGAUCCAGCAAUGCCGCGUGAGUGAUGAAGGCCUUAGGGUUGUAAAGCUCUUUUACCCGGGAUGAUAAUGACAGUACCGGGAGAAUAAGCUCCGGCUAACUCCGUG